UACGUAGGGUGCAAGCGUUGUCCGGAAUUAUUGGGCGUAAAGGGCUCGUAGGCGGCUUGUCGCGUCGACUGUGAAAUCCCGAGGCUCAACUUCGGGCUUGCAGUCGAUACGGGCAGGCUAGAGUUCGGUAGGGGAGACUGGAAUUCCUGGUGUAGCGGUGAAAUGCGCAGAUAUCAGGAGGAACACCGGUGGCGAAGGCGGGUCUCUGGGCAGUAACUGACGCUGAGGAGCGAAAGCGUGGGGAGCGAACAGG
rnacentral:rRNA from 1 species